GCUCUUUUUUUGCUGUCAUGGCCGCCUCCGAAAGGGCGAUAAGAAGUUUUCUGCUUUCUGAGGGUCUUGGGGGACUGUCUGAUCUGUUAGAAGGCUACCAGCAGACCCUUGGGGUGGCAGAGACCCUGGCAUUCUUGUCCCGGGCGUGGACAAGAGGCCUGAGAGGGUCCAUGCUGGACUUGCAGUGUUUCCAUGAGCCAGGAGGCCUGUGACUGCUUGUGGGGUCGCAGGCGGCCACAUCCUGGUGGUCUGCCCUUCUGCCUUUGACCUGUCUGUCAGUAUGGCCUGUGCCUGGGUGUCUGGAGUGUGCUCUCUGCUCUUAUGGAUUUGACAACUGGAUGUGAGAAUCGAACCAAAGCUCCCUGUGUCCACCUGGUUGGCAGAGUGCUUCCCCAGCACAGAAGGAACUGGUACACACGUGGGAUUCAAGCACUCAGGAGCUGGAGGCAGAGCACCAGAAGCUCAGGUAUAAGGGGUUCAGGGUCAGCCUAGGGCACAUGAGAUCCUGCCGAAAGCAACAACCAAACUCAACGUGCUGAACUAUAUUCAGCUGAAGAUCAGAUAGUGCAGUGGAUGGCAGAGCUGUUAAGAACAGGUAAUGAAGACUUGGACCCUUGUCUCAAUUGUUAAGCUAUGAUAGUAUUCUUAAAAACAUCCAACUUCUAUAGAGUUCCCUAAUUAUGAAAAUUUCUUUUAUACAGUUUAGUACUCCUGGUUUUGCUGUGCAAAUUGAAUGUGGAUUUGUAGAAAUUUGUACCAAAAUGUAGAAAAACUGCCAAAGAACUUCAAUGGAAAUCUUUAUGUACUAUUACAAUGAAAUGCUGUUAAUUCAUGUUGCUUACAUUAAAGACUAUUUUCAACUUUAAAUAUUUUAAAUAAAUGAUUCUGAAGUCCCAA
rnacentral:lncRNA from 1 species